rnacentral:rRNA from 1 species
UACAGAGGUGGCAAGCGUUGUUCGGAAUUACUGGGCGUAAAGGGCGCGUAGGCGGCCUCGCAAGUCCCGUGUGAAAUCCCUCGGCUCAACUGAGGAAUGGCACGGGAAACUGCGGGGCUUGAGUUCGGGAGAGGGAAGCGGAAUUCCGGGUGUAGCGGUGAAAUGCGUAGAUAUCCGGAGGAACACCGGUGGCGAAGGCGGCAUCCUGGACCGGCAUUGACGCUGAGGAGCGAAAGCCAGGGGAGCAAACGGG